rnacentral:lncRNA from 10 species
CUGCCGCCCUCAGCCCACUGGUACCUGGAAGGAGUCUUAUUCAGGGAUUAGGUUACCCAGGUUGUUCAUGGAGUUCCCGCUGUACGGCCUAUAACUGGAUGGCGCAAUUUUCCCACCUGAAACUCUUAGUGCAGGGCCUAACAGGCCUUCUUAGCUAGAGUCGCUCUAAAGGACUCCUGAUUCAGUUCGGGUAAUCGGAGUCUUAUUUAGGACAAGUCUGGGUGAAUCCCUUAUGUUUACCAGAUGUACUUUCUUAGUUGGAGUUCCACUCUUACCCAAAGGCAGUGCAGCAUGCAACCAGCUUGUUUGUAGUCACAAAAGCCUGCUAGUUUUUGUUUGUUUUGAGACGGAGUCUCGCUCUGUCGCUAGGUUGGAGUGCAGCAGCGCGAUCUCGGCUCACCGCAACCUCCGCCUCCCAGGUUCAAGCGAUUCUCCUGGCUCUGCCUCCUGAGUAGCUGGGACUACAGGCGCCCGCCACCACGCCCAGUUAAUUUUUUUAUUUUUAGUAGAGACGGGAUUUCACCAUGUUGGCCAGGAUGAAGUGCUGGGAUUACAGGCGUGAGCUACCACGCCCGGCCUAGUUUUGUUUUUAAUUGGGGAAAGAAUUGUAUCAUAAUAGGUCUUUGUAAUUAAUAACUAAUUUAAACAUGUUAUCAAGGCCCUGGGGCACAAAAUUGAUUUAAGCAG